rnacentral:lncRNA from 1 species
CAUCCGUAAAUAGUUCAUAAUGAAUUCUCCAAAAAGAUUUAUAUUUAGGAACAGAGAAAAUAGAUUAUAAUCUGGAAGGUUUGUACCAUGUAAGUGCAGAUGCAGAAAAGUAAUGAACUGAUUUUGCAAAAAUCUAGGUUACUCUUAUCGAGAAAAGAUAGUCUAAUUUAAGUUGCUGCAACGCCUCUAAGGAUUGGUUGGUAGUGUAGGUGGCCAAGAGCUGUAGGGAGGAAAAGGUGUUCUUAGGAAGGGUGGCGGCAAGGGCGUUCAAGUUGUAAUGGUAAGUGAUAUCUGCGUAGUUUUCAGUAUUACCACAUAGCCGCCCCAUGUUGUAUUCUUGAUGCCUUUAUUUUCAAAGCAUUGGUACACAAUAAUAUUUUUUUGUUGUAAUCAAUUGAUAGAAAGUUUGGCCAGUCUACUCCGAAUUAGACUAUGUGCUAAUAUAUUGAGGUUGGAACUGGAGGCAAUGUUGAUCAUCA